AAUUAUUAUCCCUUCUCUAGGAAUUGAUACAAGCCAACAGCCAAUAGUCUUCCUUGCUAAUAAGAAGAUCUGUGUUUGAAUGAAGCCAUACAUAAGGGCUUUUCAUGGCAAGAUGCUUUGAAACACUAAAGGAGAAAAGGUCAAAACAGAUUUCGUCCUGGUGGCAGCAAGAUCACAAAGGAGCACCCCAACUGUCUCCUUGCUUUUAUCUGGAGCAAGAGACACAAAAGAACUCCUUCAAAUGUUCCCCUGCCACGAAUUCCCAGGGUACAAUGAGAAGCCAAGCUGGCAGAAUAGAGACUCUAAGUUUGGGCUUUUACAGGGGGUACAUAACUUCUAUUUAUCAAUACACUAAGAAACCUCACCCCUUACCCCUCACCUCCUUCUCAGUUCCACCCCCAAAUGAAAAAGACUUUAGAUAAAGGAGCCAUGUAUAUUUAAAAAUGUUUUUAAGAGGACUGUUGUUUGUUUGUUACAGUACAGCUAUUUAUUAUUCUUCACUGUGGAGCAUUGAAUUCUCUCUUGUAACAAAGAAAAACCAACUUGAUAAUGUAAAUAGCCAUGUUGAUUAACGGUGCAUCAUUUCGUACCUAGCAUCCACCACUUCUUUAUUAAGAGGAGGGAAAGAGUUUCUUUUUUUUUCUCUCGAACUAUUUAAAUUUUAGUCCAUUUACCUUUUGGUCUUCCCAAUCAAGCUUUGACUGAAAUGCUUUUUGGUGUAGAAAGGUGGCAUAGUGAAUAGACUCAUCUUCCUAAAUUCAAAUCUAAACUUGGACAUUUACUAGUUGGGUGGACCCUGAACAAAUCACUUAACUCUAUUUGCCUCAGUUUACUCAUCUGUAAAAUGAGCUGGAGAAGGAAAUAGCAAACUAAUUCAGUAUCUUUGCCAAGAAAAUUCCAAAAGGGGUUAUGAAGAGUCGGACAUAACUGAAAAACAACUGAAUAUAUCAGGUGCUUUUCAGACUCAUAAGAAUACUGGAGUCAAAGUCCCCUGGCUCCAGAAAGCCAAUUAUUAAAUUUUCAGUGUGAUGAUUUUGACCUUAGAAAUCAGCAAAUCCUACAGAUGAAGGCUUGAUUGUUGUUGAUUUAAGAAAGUGAUGUGAAAAAAGUUAAUAAUAGAAAUUAAACUUAAUAAUGUAUAGUAUAUACACACAUAUAUGAUUUCCCUACCUAUGGCUAGUCAUUAAACAUUUACCAAAAUG
rnacentral:lncRNA from 1 species